rnacentral:rRNA from 1 species
GACGAACGCUGGCGGCGUGCUUAACACAUGCAAGUCGUACGGUAAGGCCCUUUCGGGGGUACACGAGUGGCGAACGGGUGAGUAACACGUGAGUAACCUGCCCACAACUUUGGGAUAACGCUAGGAAACUGGUGCUAAUACUGGAUAUGUGCUCCUGCUGCAUGGUGGGGGUUGGAAAGCUCCGGCGGUUGUGGAUGGACUCGCGGCCUAUCAGCUUGUUGGUGGGGUAGUGGCCUACCAAGGCGGCGACGGGUAGCCGGCCGGAGAGGGUGACCGGCCACAUUGGGACUGAGAUACGGCCCAGACUCCUACGGGAGGCAGCAGUGGGGAAUAUUGCACAAUGGGCGCAAGCCUGAUGCAGCAACGCCGCGUGCGGGAUGACGGCCUUCGGGUUGUAAACCGCUUUCAGCAGGGACGAAGCUUUUUGUGACGGUACCUGCAGAAGAAGCACCGGCUAACUACGUG